UGUAUGGAAUAUCUAAAUUCUAGUAUGAAAAAUUAAUGAUUUAAGUCCUUCUUAAAUGAGGCCAUUUACCCAUAGAGGGUGCCAGGCCCGUAUAACAUUAAUGAUUACUAGAAGAUAUUUCCAAAGAGUCGUGUUGCUUGAUAGUGCAGCACUAAGUGGGUGGUAAACUCCAUCUAAAACUAAAUAUAACCAUGAGACCGAUAGUAAACAAGUACCGUGAGGGAAAGUUGAAAAGAACUCUGAAUAGAGAGUUAAAUAGUACGUGAAACUGCUUAGAGGUUAAGCCCGAUGAACCUGAAUAUCCAUUAUAAAGAAUUCAUCAUCAAUAUUGUUAUAUAUAAAAAAUAUAAUGAUAAUGGUGUGCAUUUUCUUUAUAUAAGGACAUUGUAAUUUAUUAACAUAUAAAUUUAUUAUAAGAUCAAUUGCAAGAGUUUAUUUUAAUUAUUUUACUUCGGUGAUUUAUAUUAAAUAAAUGCUAUUGAUUUAAUAAAGUGUUGAUAAAUUAAAUCAUAUGUAUAAUGCAUAAAUUUCAUUAUGAAAUUUUAUAAUUUUUAAUUAUACGCAUUUAUACGAUUAACAAUGCGAAAGAUUCAGGAUACCUUCGGGACCCGUCUUGAAACACGGACCAAGGAGUCUAACAUAUGUGCAAGUUUUUGGGUAAAUAUUUAACAAAACCCAUAAACAUAAUUAACUUAACUAAAUAAUGGGAUGAAUUUUGAUAUUUAUUUAUAUAAAUAUUUUAAUACAAUCCCGGGGCGUUCUAUUGUUAUGUAUAAUGAUAUUUUAUAAUAUUAUUUAUGCCUCUAACUAGAGCGUACCUUGAGCAUAUAUGCUGUGACCCGAAAGAUGGUGAACUAUACUUGAUCAGGUUGAAGUCAGGGGAAACCCUGAUGGAAGACCGAAAC
rnacentral:rRNA from 1 species